ACGGUAACGAACUAGCUUGCUAGUUGCUGACGAGUGGCGGACGGGUGAGUAAUGCUUAGGGAUCUGCCUCUGUGUGGGGGAUAACUAUUGGAAACGAUAGCUAAUACCGCAUAAUGUCUACGGACCAAAGAGGGCUUCGGCUCUCGCGCAGAGAGGAACCUAAGCGAGAUUAGCUAGUUGGUGAGGUAAAGGCUCACCAAGGCGACGAUCUCUAGCUGUUCUGAGAGGAAGAUCAGCCACACUGGAACUGAGACACGGUCCAGACUCCUACGGGAGGCAGCAGUGGGGAAUAUUGCACAAUGGGGGAAACCCUGAUGCAGCCAUGCCGCGUGUGUGAAGAAGGCCUUCGGGUUGUAAAGCACUUUCAGUUGUGAGGAAAGGUUAGUAGUUAAUACCUGCUAGCUGUGACGUUAACAACAGAAGAAGCACCGGCUAACUCCGUGCCAGCAGCCGCGGUAAUACGGAGGGUGCGAGCGUUAAUCGGAAUUACUGGGCGUAAAGCGCACGCAGGCGGUCUGUUAAGCUAGAUGUGAAAGCCCCGCGCUCAACGUGGGAGGGUCAUUUAGAACUGGCAGACUAGAGUCUUGGAGAGGGGAGUGGAAUUCCAGGUGUAGCGGUGAAAUGCGUAGAGAUCUGGAGGAACAUCAAUGGCGAAGGCAACUCCCUGGCCAAAGACUGACGCUCAUGUGCGAAAGUGUGGGUAGCGAACAGGGAUAGAUACCCUGGUAGUCCCCCACCGUAACGCUGCCUACUAACUGUUUGGGGAUUUUAUCCCGGAGUAGCGAAGCCAACGCAAUAAGU
rnacentral:rRNA from 1 species